GACGAACGCUGGCGGCGUGCUUAACACAUGCAAGUCGAACGGAAAGGCCCUGCUUUUGUGGGGUGCUCGAGUGGCGAACGGGUGAGUAACAAGUGAGUAACCUGCCCUUGACUUUGGGAUAACUUCAGGAAACUGGGGCUAAUACCGGAUAGGAGCUCCUGCUGCAUGGUGGGGGUUGGAAAGUUUCGGCGGUUGGGGAUGGACUCGCGGCUUAUCAGCUUGUUGGUGGGGUAGUGGCUUACCAAGGCUUUGACGGGUAGCUGGCCUGAGAGGGUGACCGGCCACAUUGGGACUGAGAUACGGCCCAGACUCUUACGGGAGGCAGCAGUGGGGAAUAUUGCACAAUGGGCGGAAGCCUGAUGCAGCAACGCCGCGUGCGGGAUGACGGCCUUCGGGUUGUAAACCGCUUUCGCCUGUGACGAAGCGGGAGUGACGGUAAUGGGUAAAGAAGCACCGGCUAACUACGUG
rnacentral:rRNA from 1 species